UACGUAGGGUGCGAGCGUUGUCCGGAAUUACUGGGCGUAAAGGGCUCGUAGGUGGUUUGUCGCGUUGGUCGUGAAAUCCGGGGGCUUAACCCUCGGCGUGCGUUCGAUACGGGCAGACUUGAGGACUGCAGGGGAGACUGGAAUUCCUGGUGUAGCGGUGGAAUGCGCAGAUAUCAGGAGGAACACCGGUGGCGAAGGCAGCACUCUGGGACGUGACUGACGCUGAGACGCGAAAGCGUGGGGAGCAAACAGG
rnacentral:rRNA from 1 species